AAUAGACAUGCAAGUCGAGCGAACAGAAGGGAGCUUGCUCCCGGAUGUUAGCGGCGGACGGGUGAGUAACACGUGGGUAACCUGCCUGUAAGACUGGGAUAACUCCGGGAAACCGGAGCUAAUACCGGAUAGUUCCUUGAACCGCAUGGUUCAAGGAUGAAAGACGGUUUCGGCUGUCACUUACAGAUGGACCCGCGGCGCAUUAGCUAGUUGGUGGGGUAAUGGCUCACCAAGGCGACGAUGCGUAGCCGACCUGAGAGGGUGAUCGGCCACACUGGGACUGAGACACGGCCCAGACUCCUACGGGAGGCAGCAGUAGGGAAUCUUCCGCAAUGGACGAAAGUCUGACGGAGCAACGCCGCGUGAGUGAUGAAGGUUUUCGGAUCGUAAAGCUCUGUUGUUAGGGAAGAACAAGUGCGAGAGUAACUGCUCGCACCUUGACGGUACCUAACCAGAAAGCCACGGCUAACUACGUGCCAGCAGCCGCGGUAAUACGUAGGUGGCAAGCGUUGUCCGGAAUUAUUGGGCGUAAAGGGCUCGCAGGCGGUUUCUUAAGUCUGAUGUGAAAGCCCCCGGCUCAACCGGGGAGGGUCAUUGGAAACUGGGAAACUUGAGUGCAGAAGAGGAGAGUGGAAUUCCACGUGUAGCGGUGAAAUGCGUAGAGAUGUGGAGGAACACCAGUGGCGAAGGCGACUCUCUGGUCUGUAACUGACGCUGAGGAGCGAAAGCGUGGGGAGCGAACAGGAUUAGAUACCCUGGUAGUCCACGCCGUAAACGAUGAGUGCUAAGUGUUUAGGGGGUUUCCGCCCCUUAGUGCUGCAGCUAACGCAUUAAGCACUCCGCCUGGGGGAGUACGGUCGCAAGACUGAAACUCAAAGGAAUUGACGGGGGCCCGCACAGCGGUGGAGCAUGUGGUUUAAUUCGAAGCAACGCGAAGAACCUUACCAGGUCUUGACUCCUCUGACACCCUAGAGAUAGGCUUUCCUUCGGGACGA
rnacentral:rRNA from 1 species